AUCAAAGGUGUGUAGCCAGGAUCCACCCCUUCCCAGACCUCAUUUAAGGGUUGGCAGUGAAGGUGAGGAUAUCUUGCUUGAGAUCCCUCUAUUCCUGAGACCUUUUGAAGUCUGUCUUUGCACGCCCAAGGCUGUCCGUUUGUUCAUUAUUUUUGGGCCCAAGUGGAGCAAGUCUGUUUGUAGAAGAUAGUUGGACUACAUACUCAACUUCCUUCCCAGUGGUCCAGGCUCAUCUGUUUCAACAAAAAUAACUUUGGAUUUGAUGAAGCCCCUGGAGAAUUAUGACCUUGCUGUUCUCCCUUGCUAAGAGAUACAGUCUUCCUGUCUGCUUGGCCAAGCCAAGAUACCAGCAGAGGCUUGAAUCCUGCAAGAUCCUACGGCAGGCUGGAUUGCUUUUAGCUCACUAAAAGCUGUGUUGCACUAUUACAGCACAAGCUUCAGGUCUGAGUGUGCGUAGUGUUAUUUCAUUUUGGGGAUAUAUCCUUUGUAACACCUUUCAGGCUUGAGGAAGAGGCUUUUAACUGUUUCCUGCUGGCUGGUGGAGGAAAGAACAAUUCCCAGCCCGUUCCUUGGCUGUGAUCUCAAUCAAAUCCUGGCUGUUGCAACCAGGGCUCUGCAUAUAUGGGAACCCCUAAAGGAGAGAUUAAAAUGCGGCUCUACUUCUAAUGCAGAUUGUAGGACAUCAGAUAACUGGGCAUGCAGGCACGCAAUGCCUGGAUCAGAGGAAAAGCUACAAACCAAAUCUGAUUGCUUUAUUGAUACCUUUUUUGGUUCUUAAAAAUGUGAAUUUUUAGUAGAACCAGAAGUAUUUCUGAUACGUCAGAACAGGCAUUUGAAUAAACUUGCAAAUUAUACAACACAGUAGAAAGUGAAGCUCAUUUCUGCUUUCCCCGUUGCCUAGGUGAUUAACAUGAGAUAAAUACAGUUUUUCCUAUGUCUGUUCUUAAAUCUUUAAGACAAAGAGUUUUUGACUUGGUGUUGCAAGAUGUGAAGGUGUUUCAAUAGCUAGAUUUCAUAAGAGUUGGACUCUCCUCCCUUCCCAUUCCUUGUGUCACAUUUCUGCUCUAGAGGUCACCUUGUAGCUGCUAUUUAAUGCCCUCCAAACCCCUCAUAGGCUGGGAGCUGGGUGGCUGAGUUCAGUGGUGUGUGUGCUUAUGCAUAAAGCUCACACUAGUUAAAAAUACCAAGUAAUAUAUAAUUAUCUGUAGUGCCAUUAACACCCUGUAAGCAUUAGAGCUGCAAAAGGUGGUUGGCCAUGAGAAAAAACAGAUUGCUGGGCUAGAAAUCAGGAUACCAACUGCUGCCUCUGGCUUUGGCACCGACUGGUGUAACCCUGAGCUAGUCAACUCAUUUCAAUUCCUCCCUUUGUUUUCCCUCUGUCAUGUCUAUUUAAAUAGAAUGUCCUUUGCAGCAGGGAUUGUCUCUCCCUGUGUGUUUGUACAGUGCGUGACACAGCAGGCCCCAAGCUCCACUGAUGGCUCCAAAACACAGAACCUUCAUGAGAAGAGACUUCUGCUGCAGAAAUCUCCAUAUGCAGUGGCUUCAGAAACCUCAGUUCUGCUGCUUGUUUUCCCUUCUCCUUCCUGAUGAUCUUAGCUGUUUGUAAGAAAGCCUCAGCAGAGGCUGCUAAAUGCUGGUGCCCUGAUUUGACAGAUUAGGAAAGAGAAAUACAGAAAUGUGGUGUGGAUUUCUCCAGCUCAUACAGGAAAGAGGCAUUCUUUUCCUCCCCGGAUUCAGUGCUACAAGGAGAACAAGACAUUAAAUAAUAAAUACACACAUAAUCCAAGCACACCUUCCAGCUUUUACCUCCUGCUUCCUCUCCUUUGCAGGCCCACAGAAACCACAUCUGCAUGUGCUUCCUUCAGUGUCUCCUCUUUCCUCCCUUCUUCUGCUGACCUCUGGAAGCACUUCAGGGAUUACCUGAGCAGCUCAGAGCAACAAAGCAAGAUCUCUGCUUACCAGAGGCAGCCACUGAAUAUGCCUGUAAUGCCUAAUUCAGCCUGAGGCUGUAGAUACCUGCCUCCACCUACCCCUAUUUACUGUCAGAAUGAGGCAUUUGCUGUGAGAGUGUGAACAUCCACACAUUGACAGUAAUCAAAUUUUGUUGUUGUUACUGCAUGUUUCUAUCUGGGAAUCCAAAAAGAAUAUUUUCACCCUUCAUUUCACUUCACAACAUCACAG